UACGAAGGGGGCUAGCGUUGCUCGGAAUCACUGGGCGUAAAGGGCGCGUAGGCGGAUCUUUAAGUCGGGGGUGAAAGCCUGAGGCUCAACCUCAGAAUUGCCUUCGAUACUGGAGAUCUUGAGACCGGAAGAGGUGAGUGGAACUGCGAGUGUAGAGGUGAAAUUCGUAGAUAUUGGCUGGAACACCAGUGGCGAAGGCGGCUCACUGGUCCGGUACUGACGCUGAGGUGCGAAAGCGUGGGGAGCAAACAGGG
rnacentral:rRNA from 1 species